AUACGUAGGGGGCGAGCGUUGUCCGGAAUUACUGGGCGUAAAGAGCUCGUAGGUGGUUUGUCGCGUCGUCUGUGAAAUUCCGGGGCUUAACUCCGGGCGUGCAGGCGAUACGGGCAUAACUUGAGUACUGUAGGGGAGACUGGAAUUCCUGGUGUAGCGGUGAAAUGCGCAGAUAUCAGGAGGAACACCGGUGGCUAAGGCGGGUCUCUGGGCAGUAACUGACGCUGAGGAGCGAAAGCAUGGGUAGCGAACAGGAUUAGAUACCCUGGUAGUCCAUGCCGUAAACGGUGGGCGCUAGGUGUAGGGGUCUUCCACGACUUCUGUGCCGUAGCCAACGCAUUAAGCGCCCCGCCCGGGGAGUACGGCCGCAAGGCUAAAACUCAAAUGAAUUGGCGGGG
rnacentral:rRNA from 1 species